ensembl:lncRNA
UAACCAUCACAACCAUCCUUCAGCAUGCAGGACAUGAUUUAUUUCAAGAAUCCACAAUCCAGCUGGAUUUUAUGAGACUUUACACACAAACUAUAAAUCAUAUCAUAGACUCAAAAGCAUUUUAUUUCCAUUCCCACCUGCGAAAACAAGGGAACACGACUGGCGAAAGUAAUCCACAAAAAAAGUACCAGUCUUUCUGCCAAAUUGCAACAAUAUCAUGCUUUUUAUUAUAUAAACAUAAUUUAGAAAAAAAGACUAUUCUUCUUUUUCAAAAAGCUGUUAUUUGUCUCUUCCUUCAUUGUAUUCAUAGCUGAUGCAGACUACAACAGUAUCAUCCAAAGAAAAUGUACACUGACCUUCCCAAUACAAAAAUUUGUUCAUGAAACUGAAAACAUCCUUAAAGUAAAUUAAAAAAAAAAAACACUAAGAUGAACAAGCAAUCAAGAACAUCUUCUUGUACAAGCUCUGAAUGAAGAGACUGUGGAAAUAGAACUAGACUGGGGUUCGGAUUGUCUCAUAUCUGACUAAUGAUUGGUUUGAUUAUCUAAAUGGUCACAGUCUAGGUCAAAUCAAGUACUAACAUCUGUCUGUUUCCAAAUGAGAACAAGCUGCAAAACACUGGCAGAUUAUCAAUGUAAAAAUAUAGAUCCCUGGAAUCAAUUCUGCUGGCAAAAUCUUAACCAUGAUUAAUCAUAAAAGCCCUGCUGUGUCUGUGCUUCUACAUCAGCAUUAUGCACAUAUUGAAUAUUGAAAUAGCAGCUUGUCUCUACUUAUUGUCUGCUUUUGAAUUUCAGUGGCUAUUGCUCUUUGGCAGUGUCCUAGCUCUUACUUUUUGUAGUGUACUGUGCUCUAUUCUUGUUGUGAAUUGAGGUGGUGUGUUGGUGUGUAAAGGGCAAUCAUAUUACUCUGAAACAUGGACAGAUUAGUCAGUGGGCCGACCGGGCAUACACGCAGGGGCCCAAGGAGUCUGGGGGCCCCUGGUUUCAUCCUAAAAUUAUAAUACAUAUCGCAGAAAGAGACACGAAACAACCAACAUGAGACACAAAAAAUGACCAAAGAGGACAAAAACAAUCACAGCGAUUUGAAGGACAACUACAAAACAGAUGUAAAAUGGCUAAAAAGAAAUAUAAAACAACCAAAAUGUGGCACAAAAUGACCAAAAGUGGACAAAAACAACUACUACAACUAUAAAGAGAUGCAAAAAAUACCACAAUGAGACACUAAUGGAUAAUAACAGAUGCAAAAGUAUCAAAAUGAGUGUGACAAAAACCCAAAUCUGACACAAAAUGAACUUGAGGAGAUGGAAUGGCUACAAGAAGAUACAAAAUGACCAGACACACAAAGGCCACAAAGAGAUGCAAAACACUAAUUAACAACAAAACAACCAAAAUGUGACACAAAAUGACAACAAAUUGAC